AUCUAGUGACUGAAAAGCAAGUAAUAGUCUCUUAAACUAAAUUAUGGUGCCAGCUAACACCCUAGAUAAC
rnacentral:tRNA from 1 species